rnacentral:ncRNA from 1 species
GAAUGAGUACAAUUUAAAUCCUUUAACGAGGACCAAUUGGAGGGCAAGUCUGGUGCCAGCAGCCUCUAUAACUCCAGCUCCAAAAGCGUAUAUUAAAGUUGCUGCAGUUAAAAAGCUCGUAGUUGAAUAGUGCAAUAGAUUUCUACAUUCAUUUUAGUUUAAUGAAGGACUGUCUUGCAUUUCCUCACUUAUUUGUGAUAUGCUUUUACGUUUGAUGUGCUUGCAGUUGACACGAUACCGCCCAAGAUAAGUGAGGGUGAUACCUUCUUGUAGAUUCCUUCCGUUGAUAGUGA